ACCCGCUGAACUUAAGCAUAUCAGUAAGCGGAGGAAAAGAAACUAACUAGGAUUCCCCGAGUAACGGCGAGCGAAAGGGGAAGAGCCCAGCGCCGAAGCCCGCGGCCUAACGGCCGCAGUGCAAUGUGGCGUUACGGCGGCGGCUCGCCGACGGCCUCUCUGGCGCGCGUACCUCUGAACGGGUCUGCCCAUAGCGGGUGUCAGGCCUCUGGUCGCCGAGAGUGGUCGCGGCACGCCGUCGCCGCGGAGUCGGGUUGCUUGAGAGUGCAGCCCAAAGCGGGUGGUAAGCUCCAUCUAAGGCUAAAUACCUAGUGCGAGACCGAUAGCAAACAAGUACCGUGAGGGAAAGUUGCAAAGAACUUUGAAAAGAGAGUUCAAGAGUACGUGAAACCGUUCAGAGGCAAACGGACGGAACUGGGCGAGUUCGCCGCCGUCAUUCAGCCGUCGCUUCGCGCGGCGGUGCACUUGGCGGCGGCGGAGCGCGACGACCGCCUGCUCGGCUGUCAGACGCCCGGCGGCAAGGUGGCUGCGCGCGCACGCGUGCAGUGUUACAGGCCGCCGCGGUAUGGGCUGGCCGGGCGGGCGAGGAGCGCCUGCGGUGCACUCUCCGUUCGCGGGGAGCGGCUCGCGGCGGUGGGCUCGCGGUCGCCGGCGGCAAACUGCUCGCAGUUUGUUGUCGCGCGCGCCGCUUGUCGCGCCGUCCGGUGCCGCGCUGCACCCAGGGUCCGAGUCGCGUGGUUCCCGGCACUCCGUCCGACCCGUCUUGAAACACGGACCAAGGAGUUGUGCACGCGCGCGAGUCGAUGGGCUCGUACGAACCCCAGUGGCGCAGCUAAGGCAAAACGGGCGUGAUCCGGCGCGCUAGCGCGCCGGCGCAACGCCGGCCCGCGGCCGACUCGACGCUAGUGGCCGCGGUGCAAGAGCGCGCGUGCUCAGACCCGAAAGGUGGUGAACUAUGCUUGAGCAGGGCGAAGCCAGAGGAAACUCUGGUGGAGGCUCGCAGCGAUCCUGACGUGCAAAUCGGUCGUCAAACUUGAGCAUAGGGGCGAAAGACUAAUCGAACCGCCUAGUAGCUGGUUCCCUCCGAAGUUUCCCUCAGGAUAGCUGGCACUCGGGAGACAUGGUUGUAUCCGGUAAAGCGAAUGAUUAGAGGCAUUGGGGACGAAACGUCCUCAACCUAUUCUCAAACUUUAAAUGGGUACGAGGCGCGGCCCCUCCUGAUCGGGGUCGCGUGCUUGAACAGCGAGUGCCCAGUGGGCCGUUUUUGGUAAGCAGAACUGGCGCUGUGGGAUGAACCAAACGCGCGGUUAGGGUGCCAAACGCACGCUCAUGAGACACCACAAAAGGUGUUGGUUGAUAUAGACAGCAGGACGGUGGCCAUGGAAGUCGGAAUCCGCUAAGGAGUGUGUAACAACUCACCUGCCGAAUCAACUAGCCCUGAAAAUGGAUGGCGCUGUAGCGUGCGACCCAUACCGCGCCGCCGGGGCAAUGCGUGCGCAAUGCCAGGCCCCGGUGAGUAGGAGGGCGUGUCGGUGGCGCUGAAGCGUUGUGCGCGAGCACGCGUGGAGCCGCCUUCAGUGCAGAUCUUGGUGGUAGUAGCAAGUAUACAAAUGAGAACUUUGUAGACCGAAGUGGAGAAGGGUUCCAUGUGAACAGCAGUUGGACAUGGGUCAGUCGGCCCUAAGAGAUCGGAAAACUCCGUUCUGAACGGGGGAGCACAAACGACGGCACGGAGCGCACGAGCGCGCGCGCACACGUCCGAACGUCUCUAGGGCAGUGCGUGUUGUAGCGCGCGAGACGCGCCGAGUGCCAACACGCGUCAGUUCUGUGGCUCCCGAUCUGAUCGAAAGGGAAUCGGGUUAAUAUUCCCGAACCUGGUGGCGGAGAUUGGGCCCUCGGGCCCCAGUGCGGUAACGCAACCGAACUCGGAGACGCCAGCGUCGAUCCCGGGAAGAGUUCUCUUUUCUUUGUUAGGAGCGGACUCCCUGGAAUUGGCUUGUCCAGAGAUAGGGACGUUGCAUCCGUAAAGCGUCGCGCCUCACGCGGCGUCCGGUGCAUCGGCGCUGGCCCUUGAAAAUCCGAGGAAGGCAGUGUAAUUUUCGCCCCAGGCCGUACCCGAAUCCGCAGCAGGUCUCCAAGGUGAACAGCCUCUGGUCGAUAGAACAAUGUAGGUAAGGGAAGUCGGCAAAUCCGAUCCGUAACUUCGGGACAAGGAUUGGCUCUGAGGUGCGGGCUGUUUCGGGUCGCGGCAAGAAGCGGACGGCGCGUUGAGCUGGACUGGGCGCGCCCCUCGGGGCGCGCUCGGACCGUCGCCAGCGCGCGGCCGUGGGCGGCCGUGGCUUUCGCCGCCGCGGGCCCUCGCGGGCCGGCGCGCGGCUUCGUUCGGCCUUAACGCACGGAUCAGAACUGGCACGGACUCUGGGAACACGACUGUCUAAUUAAAACAAAGCAUCGCGAUGGCCGCUGGUCGGUGUUGACGCGAUGUGAUUUCUGCCCAGUG
rnacentral:rRNA from 1 species